ACAAUAGAGUGGGACACCGAAAGACAUUUUACUCCUGUACACUUUUUGAGUUCCUUUUUGGUCCCACAUCAACUGUGCAAAAUUUCAGCUCGAUCGGAGAAACUAUAUUUUAGCGCCAGCCAUUUAAAGUUUUCAUACGAUUUACUAUGGGGAAAAUCACUUUUUCAAAGAAAAAUCGCCACAGGUUGCCCCUUAACCCCUAAAAAUAAAUCGAUGAAUGAUUUCUGUUGGAAAUUUUACGAGGAACCAACUCUCUGAAGACCGCAAAGCGAUCUAAGGCAUGUGGAAAAAGUUAUUAACUGAAAACCGAAUGGCAUGCUAAUGCUGUUUAACAUGUAAGGAAUAACAAUAAAUAAUAAAAUCUCGUCAUUUUACCGAUCGGGAGAGGCUUAAUAACUUUUUCCACUAACGUCGCAUCGGUUUGCGGUCUUCGGAGGUCUGAUUCCUCGUGAAGUUUUCUACAGAAAUCAUUCAUCGACUUAUUUUUAGGGAUCUAGGGGUGACUCCUAGCGAUUUUUCUUGCAGAUGUAAAAUUUCCCCAUAGUAAAUCGUAUGAAAAACUAAGAAUGGCGGGCGCUAAAAUAUAGUUUUUCCGAUCGAUCUGAAAUUUUGCACAGUUGAUUUGGGACCAAAGAGAAACUCAAAAAGUAUACAGGAGUUAGAGUUUUUCCAUUUUUUGUAUUUUCCCAUAUAAACCGUGUACCAGGCUAAUAUACAACCUAGUCAAAAUUUCGGUUGGUUGGAAAAAACUUAAAAUUAGAUUUUCAGCCCUCGGCUGGUUCAUCUCGUAAACAACAACGAAAAUUGUUACGAGUUGAAAAUAAAUUAUCUGCAGUGAUUCUACGGCAGCAUGCUGAAUACUAAAAGUACUCAGUUAUUUUUGGUCUUCGAUUUGGAGUAUUUCAAUAAGGAAUGGCACCUUCGAUUCCCGUUUACAACGACCAUUUCCGGAGAUUAAUUUCCGGCAUUUUGAUGAAUCAAGAGCAACCUAAGGAGUAAGCAGUGCUGUGUACGGGUUUGCCGGAUGUUUGUUAAGGUACUACCAUGGAUACUGUGCGACCGGACAACGCCCUAACAAUUCCAAGAAGAGCCCAAGUCACCGAGUGUCAUCGAAAACAGAUUCCAGAUUUGUUCCGCAAAGAAUGCCCUAAAGGUCCAAAGAGCGCAGAUGUCUUGAAUAAUUUUAUUUAUUAUUCUGUAUAAAACUGAACUGCUUGUUUCA